rnacentral:rRNA from 1 species
GACGAACGCUGGCGGCGUGCCUAAUACAUGCAAGUCGAACGCAGUGGGGACGGGUGAGUAACACGUGGGUAACCUCCCAUCAGAGGGGAUAACCGUUGGAAACAGGUGCUAAACCGAUACUGGUUGAUGGACCCGCGGUGCAUUAGCUAGUUGGUGGGGUAACGGCUCACCAAGGCCAAGAUGCAUAGCGGACCUGAGAGGAGGAUGUGCCACACUGGGACUGAUACACGGCCCAGACUCCUACGGGAGGCAGCAGUUGGGAAUAUUGCGCAAUGGACGAAAGCCUGACCGAGCCAUGCCGCGUGAGUGAAGAAGGUUUUCGGAUUGUAAAAUCCUGUUGUUAGGGAAGCGUUAUCUAAACAGAAAGCCACGGCUAACUACGUGCCAGCAGCCGCGGUAAUAC